rnacentral:rRNA from 1 species
GUCCACGCCGUAAACGAUGGAUGCUAGCCGUCGGCAAGCUUGCUUGUCGGUGGCGCAGCUAACGCAUUAAGCAUCCCGCCUGGGGAGUACGGCCGCAAGGUUAAAACUCAAAGGAAUUGACGGGGGCCCCGCACAAGCGGUGGAGCAUGUGGUUUAAUUCGACGCAACGCGAAGAACCUUACCAGCCCUUGACAUUGUCGGACGGUUUCCAGAGAUGGAUUCCUCCUAGCAAUAGGUCGACACACAGGUGCUGCAUGGCUGUCGU